rnacentral:rRNA from 1 species
CUACGGGGUGCAGCAGUGGGGAAUAUUGGACAAUGGGGGAAACCCUGAUCCAGCAAUGCCGCGUGUGUGAAGAAGGCCUGCGGGUUGUAAAGCACUUUCGGUUGGGUGGACUGCUUCUAGCACUAAUAUUGUUGGAAGUUGACGUUACCUUCAGAAGAGGCACCGGCUAACUCCGUGCCAGCAGCCGCUGUAAUACGGAGGGUGCAAGCGUUAAUCGGAAUUACUGGGCGUAAAGCGCGCGUAGGCGGCUAGAUCAGUCGGGUGUGAAAGCCCCGGGCUUAACCUGGGAACUGCAUCCGAUACUGUCUAGCUUGAGUACAGGAGAGGAGAGUGGAAUUCCACAUGUAGCGGUGAAAUGCGUAGAUAUGUGGAGGAACACCAAUGGCGAAGGCAGCUCUCUGGCCUGAUACUGACGCUGAGGUGCGAAAGCGUGGGGAGCAAACAGGAUUAGAUACCCGAGUAGUC